rnacentral:rRNA from 1 species
GCAUAUCAAUAAGCGGAGGAAAAGAAACCAACUGGGAUUGCCCUUAGUAACGGCGAAGUGAAGCGGCAACAGCUCAAAUUUGAAAUCUGGCUCCGGCCCGAGUUGUAAUUUGCAGAGGAAGCUUCUGGCGACGCGCCGCCUAAGUCCCCUGGAAUGGGGCGCCACAGCGGGUGAGAGCCCCGUGUGACGGCUGCUGAACCAGUGUGAAGCUCCUUCGACGAGUCGAGUAGUUUGGGAAUGCUGCUCAAAAUGGGAGGUAAAUUCCUUCUAAAGCUAAAUACCGGCCAGAGACCGAUAGCGCACAAGUAGAGUGAUCGAAAGAUGAAAAGCACUUUGAAAAGAGGGUUAAACAGCACGUGAAAUUGUUGAAAGGGAAGCGCUUAUGACCAGACUUGCGCUGGGCUGAUCAUCCGGUGUUCUCACCGGUGCACUCUGCCCAGCGCAGGCCAGCAUCGGUUUCGGCGGGGGGAUAAAGGCGCUGGGAACGUAGCUCCCCCGGGAGUGUUAUAGCCCAGCGUGCAAUGCCCCCGCCGGGACCGAGGACAGCGCCCUGCGAGGAUGCUGGCGUAAUGGUCAUCAGCGACCCGUCUUGAAACACGGACCAAGGAGUCAAGGUUUUGCGCGAGUGUUUGGGUGUCAAACCCGCACGCGUAAUGAAAGUGAACGUAGGUGAGAGCUUCGGCGCAUCAUCGACCGAUCCUGAUGUUCUCGGAUGGAUUUGAGUAGGAGCGUUAAGCCUUGGACCCGAAAGAUGGUGAACUAUGCUUGGAUAGGGUGAAGCCAGAGGAAACUCUGGUGGAGGCUCGCAGCGGUUCUGACGUGCAAAUCGAUCGUCAAAUCUGAGCAUGGGGGCGAAAGACUAAUCGAACCAUCUAGUAGCUGGUUACC